CCUACGGGAGGCAGCAGUGAGGAAUAUUGGUCAAUGGACGCGAGCCUGAACCAGCCAAGUAGCGUGAAGGAUGACUGCCCUAUGGGUUGUAAACUUCUUUUAUAUGGGAAUAAAAUGUUCCACGUGUGGCUUUUUGUAUGUACCAUAUGAAUAAGGAUCGGCUAACUCCGUGCCAGCAGCCGCGGUAAUACGGAGGAUCCGAGCGUUAUCCGGAUUUAUUGGGUUUAAAGGGAGCGUAGGUGGAUUGUUAAGUCAGUUGUGAAAGUUUGCGGCUCAACCGUAAAAUUGCAGUUGAAACUGGCAGUCUUGAGUACAGUAGAGGUAGGCGGAAUUCGUGGUGUAGCGGUGAAAUGCUUAGAUAUCACGAAGAACUCCGAUUGCGAAGGCAGCUUACUGGACUGCAACUGACACUGAGGCUCGAAAGUGUGGGUAUCAAACAGGAUUAGAUACCCGUGUAGUC
rnacentral:rRNA from 1 species